rnacentral:misc_RNA from 1 species
AGGGUAGGUGACCAGGUCCAGGGUAGGUUCGCCAAAUCCGUCAAUCCGGCUUGAAUCGAAGGACAGGUCUAGGGUAGGCCAGAGUCGGGUCUAGGGUAGGCAACUCUCACCCUCGAAGUGGUCUACCCGGUAGCCAACUUCAAUCGCCUCUCACGGCCGCCACGGACCUCGCAUGACGACGGGACUACCACCAUCGGAUUUGCCUUGGUCGAAAUAGCUGGUAUAUGCACUUUUGAAAAAAUGCGUGCAAAAUGGUUUUGUGGUUUGGUGGCCGUGAGUCGAUUUUUUUGUUUUCCCAUACAAAUGAAUUUUGCGGAAAAUAAAAAGUGGCCCACGAGGCAGUCCUGGCGUGCGGCCCACUAAAACGGUCUCGGAGGGUAUAUGAGAAGGGAGCAAAUCCGGCCGAGCCUGAAAGGGUGAGGACAAACCGGGCGAGCAACCUCUCAGUAUCAGAUCUUGCAGACUUCCACUGCGUGUCCCUCUGUACAGCUUUGCAGGCUCCGGCCUCGGCAGCGGGGGGUUCAUAGUGGUCGUCGACCUCCACGAAACUGCACGCUCCGGCGUGACAGCGUACUGGGGAUGCCUGUGUAGAUGCAGUCCGGGCUUGCCUGGACCGCUAGCAGAUGGGCUCUGUGGAUGACUGGCCGCUGGCUAGACCUGAAACCUGAGCAACGGGAGGUAACCUCUCGCCGCGGACACCGGAAUGGUAGAAGCGGCGUGCUGCGUCCUCCUCUUGGGGCCCCUAAGCCACACCUCCCACAGCGGGUUCGGUGCGGCGGACGGACGCCCUGGGGAAUUUAGAGGGGGAAAGCGGAUUGCCCUAGCGGUGUUGUUGGCCCUGCCGACCUCACUGCGAAAGGCGCGACUUCACCGUCGCCACCCAGUAACUUUCUCUCCGGCGCUUCACGG